CUCCUGCUCUGCUGUUCAUGCUCCAGCACCUUCCUACCCCCGUGCAUUUAACCCCACUCAGCCUUGGUGGCCUUGUCUGUGGGAGAGAUGAUACCACCAGCCCUGCAGGGCUUUUGUGAGGUGGAAAAUGCCCUUACAGCGCUGCAGGACUGGGGGUGCUCCCAGACCCCGAAUGGGAAGAGGUGGGAGACUGUGUGUUAGGGGUGGCUGGGACAACGGGAAGAUGGACAAUAGUUCCUGCUCCUGGAGCCCAGAAGCCUUAGUCUUCUCAUCCCUGCUCCUUCCAUCAGACUUCCUCUGAAGCCUCGGGGGCAGGGGCAGAGGACGAGCUUGAGAAGGAGGGUCAGUGCAGUUAAGCUGGAGCUCUUGACAUUUUAAGAGCAGAAAAGAAUUCUGGAAAAAACUGGGACAGGAGCCAGGCUCGGCGAUGGGUGGAGUGAAAUCCGGUCAGUAGAGGAAGGCCCAAGCCCUGUGGCUGCCAGCAGAAUGGGUGAUUCCUUCUGACAGUGACUGGGGACUUCCCAGACUCCCUCAAAAAGUAUCAAAGGCUCAGGACACAGACCACAGCCACUGCCCUCUAAAGAGGUCUUGCCCUGGUUCUUAACAGCGACAGGGAUGGCCUUGUGCACAGGGGUCUCUGCCGCAGGAAAGGCUCACAGAGUCCUUUUGUGAACACUGCCCAAUUCCUGUUUGGCCCUCUGCCUGGCUGGCCACUGGCCUUUCCUCUUCUGCUCUGCAGCUCACUGCUGCCCUGACCUGAGGCUUCAGCGGUUCUGUGGGGCCUUCCUCCCUGUGGCCUGGUUGAUUGGCGCUCCACGGGCCCAAACUCCUGAAUUACUCCCUGUAGUUCAUGAAGAGGCACAGGGCUGUGAUUAGACCAACUAGGUUGCUAUGAUACUCACUGAAGACUUGCCUCAUUUUGCAAUCAUGGAGCAGCAUCUAUUGUCAGUGUGAAAUACUUCCUUUCCACCUGAGAAACUGGGAGUCUUUCAACAGGAGCAUUUCCACAGAUAGUUACUCAUUAACACUCUGAUGUUCUAUCCAACGUCUGCGUCAGUCCAUUUUAGAAUACCAUGAAUAUGUUCG
rnacentral:lncRNA from 1 species